GAUGAACGCUAGCGGCAGGCUUAAUACAUGCAAGUCGAGGGGCAGCAGGACUGUAGCAAUACAGUUGCUGGCGACCGGCAAACGGGUGCGGAACACGUACGCAACCUUCCUUUAAGUGAGGGAUAGCCCAGGGAAACUUGGAUUAAUACCUCGUAAUAUUUGAGAGUGGCAUCACUUUCUAAUUAUAGCUCCGGCGCUUAAAGAUGGGCGUGCGACUGAUUAGGUAGUUGGCGGGGUAACGGCCCACCAAGCCUGCGAUCAGUAACUGGUGUGAGAGCACGACCAGACACACGGGCACUGAGAAACGGGCCCGACUCCUACGGGAGGCAGCAGUAAGGAAUAUUGGUCAAUGGACGCAAGUCUGAACCAGCCAUGCCGCGUGAAGGAUUAAGGUCCUCUGGAUUGUAAACUUCUUUUAUCUGGGACGAAAAAAGGCUAUUCUUAGUCACUUGACGGUACCAGAUGAAUAAGCACCGGCUAACUCCGUGCCAGCCGCCGCCGUAAUAC
rnacentral:rRNA from 1 species